ensembl:lncRNA
CUUUAUCUUGUCCAGUAUGAGCCUGGGUUGCUAAGCAACCAGACCUUCUUAGGCAGCCUGCGGUUCUGUGGUGGUGCUUUGCAUGCUAAGUUUCCUGAGUUGGUUUCUGGAGACCCUCAAGAGUUUUAAGUCAAGAAGAGAGUUUUGUGUAAAGAUCCUACACGCCGUGGGCAACUAAGUCCUUGGCCACAAUUACUGAACCUGAUUGCACCAACUACUGAAGCCCCCGUGCCUAGAGCCCACAUGCUACAACUAAUGGAGCCUGACCACCUAGAGCUUGUGCUCCAUAAGAAAAGAAGCCACCACAGCGAGAAGCCCCUGCUCUGCACCUGGAGA